GAUGAACGCUGGCGGCGUGCUUAACACAUGCAAGUCGAACGGAAAGGCCCUGCUUUUGUGGGGUGCUCGAGUGGCGAACGGGUGAGUAACACGUGAGUAACCUGCCCUUGACUUUGGGAUAACUUCAGGAAACUGGGGCUAAUACCGGAUAGGAGCUCCUGCUGCAUGGUGGGGGUUGGAAAGUUUCGGCGGUUGGGGAUGGACUCGCGGCUUAUCAGCUUGUUGGUGGGGUAGUGGCUUACCAAGGCUUUGACGGGUAGCCGGCCUGAGAGGGUGACCGGCCACAUUGGGACUGAGAUACGGCCCAGACUCCUACGGGAGGCAGCAGUGGGGAAUAUUGCACAAUGAGCGGAAGCCUGAUGCAGCAACGCCGCGUGCGGGAUGACGGCCUUCGGGUUGUAAACCGCUUUCGCCUGUGACGAAGCGUGAGUGACGGUAAUGGGUAAAGAAGCACCGGCUAACUACGUG
rnacentral:rRNA from 1 species